CCGGAUGGGUAUUUAGGUGACUUAACACAUGCACGUCAACACUCAUAAAGGCUUACUAAGUCUAUGGCGGGUGGGGUGGGUGAAAGCCUGUAUCCGACACUGGAAAUGGAAAAGUCGAAAGCUUAGGUUAUGUGCCUCAGUGGAGAAUAUUGGUCAAUGCACGCAUGUGUAAACCAGUAACCUCAAGUCGAUAGGAACUAUCGGAUAGGAAAUGAUACAUGAUGAUCUUUAUUCCGCAUAGUCCAGUUUGAUCUCCGUGCCAGCAGUCGCGGUAAUACGGAAUCGGGCGACCCAUCGG
rnacentral:ncRNA from 1 species